UGUGCCUUCCAGCUACUUUUAAUGACUUCCUUCUCAGCAGGAGAGAUAUUUAUCCUCACUGCCAUGUCCUAUGACCGCUAUGUAGCCAUCUGCUGUCCCCUGAACUACGAGGUAUUGGAGUUGGUGCAUGUUUAAGCAUUUCUUGUUUCAUCUGUAUUGUGAUCUCUUACAUUUAUAUCUUCUCCACUGUACUGAAGAUCCCUACCACUAAAGGCUGCUUUCUGUGAUCUACACUGUGAUGCCUCCAGUAUUUAACCCUGUAACCUACAGCCUGCGGAACAAUGACAUGAAAUGUGCUCUGAUAAGGUUGCUGCAGAAAACAUAUGGUCAGGAGGCUUACUUCAUUUAACACUUUCAAGUUCUGUCAGUGAUACAGUGCCUUACAGAUCACAAGAAACUUUCCUUAUUUGUAACUUUGGAAAGACCUGAGAAAAGAAAGCAAUAUACUCAAAUUAUUUUUUCCCUGAAGAAAUAAAUACUCAAGAGCCUAA
rnacentral:lncRNA from 1 species